rnacentral:rRNA from 1 species
CCUACGGGAGGCUGCAGUGGGGAAUAUUGGACAAUGGGCGAAAGCCUGAUCCAGCCAUGCCGCGUGUGUGAAGAAGGCCUUCGGGUUGUAAAGCACUUUCAGUGGGGAAGAAAGCCUUGGGGCUAAUACCCUCGAGGAAGGACAUCACCCACAGAAGAAGCACCGGCUAACUCCGGGCCAGCAGCCGCGGUAAUACGGAGGGUGCGAGCGUUAAUCGGAAUUACUGGGCGUAAAGCGCGCGUAGGCGGUCUGAUAAGCCGGUUGUGAAAGCCCCGGGCUCAACCUGGGAACGGCAUCCGGAACUGGCAGGCUAGAGUGCAGGAGAGGAAGGUAGAAUUCCCGGUGUAGCGGUGAAAUGCGUAGAGAUCGGGAGGAAUACCAGUGGCGAAGGCGGCCUUCUGGACUGACACUGACGCUGAGGUGCGAAAGCGUGGGUAGCAAACAGGAUUAGAUACCCCUGUAGUC